rnacentral:rRNA from 1 species
GAGUUUGAUUCUGGCUCAGGCAGAACGCUGGCGGCGUGCCUAAUACAUGCAAGUCGAGCGGAGUUGUUCCUUCGGGGACAGCUUAGCGGCGGACGGGUGAGUAACACGUAGGCAACCUGCCCAUAAGACCGGGAUAACUGACGGAAACGUCUGCUAAUACCGGAUAAUCGAUCUCCUCGCCUGUGGGGAUCGUGAAAGACGCUUCGGCGUCACUUGGGGAGGGGGGGGGGGCGCAUUAGCUAGUUGGCGGGGUAACGGCCCACCAAGGCGACGAUGCGUAGCCGACCUGAGAGGGUGAUCGGCCACACUGGGACUGAGACACGGCCCAGACUCCUACGGGAGGCAGCAGUAGGGAAUCUUCGGCAAUUUACGAAAGUCUGACCGAGCGACGCCGCGUGAGCGAGGAAGGCCCUCGGGUCGUAAAAAACAGUAGAAGGGGGGAAGAACGACCGGGAGAGGAAAUUGCUCUCGGUUUUGACGGUACCUGAAAAGAAAACCCCCGGCUUAACUACGUGCCAGCAGCCGCGGUAAUACGUAGGGGGGCAAGCGUUGUCCGGGAAUUUAUUGGGCGUAAAAGCCGCGGCGCAGGGCGGUUUUCUUAAGUUCUUGGGGUUUAAAUCCCGGGGGCUCAACCCUUCGGUUCCCCUGGGGAAAACUGGGGAAACUUGGGAGUGGCAGGAGAAGAAAAGUGGAAUCUCCCUCCGUGUAAGCGGUGAAAAUUGCCGUAAAAAUAAUGUUGGAAGGAACC